UGUCCUGUGAUAAGGUAGGACUAUACUUACCUGGUGACACUGAUGUCCAGGUGUAUUACCUGGGGAUUGUCCUGUGAGAGAGUAGGACUAUACUUACCUGGUGACACUGAUGACCAGGUGUAAUACCUGGGGAUUGUCCUCUGAGAGAGUAGGACUAUACUUACCUGGUGACACUGAUGACCAGGUGUAAUACCUGGGGAUUGUCCUGUGAGAGAGUAGGACUAUACUUACCUGGUGACACUGAUGUCCAGGUGUAAUACCUGGGGAUUGUCCUGUGAGAGGGUAGGACUAUACUUACCUGGUGACACUGAUGACCAGGUGUAAUACCUGGGGAUUGUCCUGUGGGAGUGUAGGACUAUACUUACCUGGUGACACUGAUGUCCAGGUGUAAUACCUGGGGAUUGUCCUGUGAGAGGGUAGGACUAUACUUACCUGGUGACACUGCUGACCAGGUGUAAUACCUGGGGAUUGUCCUGUGAUAAGGUAGGACUAUACUUACCUGGUGACACUGAUGACCAGGUGUUAUACCUGGGGAUUGUCCUGUGAGAGAGUAGGACUAUACUUACCUGGUGACACUGAUGACCAGAUGUAAUACCUGGGGAUUGUCCUGUGAGAGAGUAGGACUAUACUUACCUGGUGACACUGAUGUCAAGGUGUAAUACCUGGGGAUUGUCCUGUGAGAGAGUAGGACUAUACUUACCUGGUGACACUGAUGUCCAGGUGUAUUACCUGGGGAUUGUCCUGUGGGAGUGUAGGACUAUACUUACCUGGUGACACUGAUGACCAGGUGUCAUACCUGGGGAUUGUCCUGUGAGAAGGUAGGACUAUACUUACCUGGUGACACUGAUGACCAGGUGUCAUACCUGGGGAUUGUCCUGUGAGAGGGUAGGACUAUACUUACCUGGUGACACUGAUGACCAGGUGUCAUACCUGGGGAUUGUCCUGUGAGAGGGUAGGACUAUACUUACCUGGUGACACUGAUGACCAGGUGUAAUACCUGGGGAUUGUCCUGUUAGAGGGUAGGACUAUACUUACCUGGUGACACUGAUGUCCAGGUGUAAUACCUAGGGAUUGUCCUGUUAGAGGGUAGGACUAUACUUACCUGGUGACACUGAUGACCAGGUGUAAUACCUGGGGAUUGUCCUGUGGGAGUGUAGGACUACCUGGUGACACUGAUGUCCAGGUGUAAUACCUGGGGAUUGUCCUGUGAGAGAGUAGGACUAUACUUACCUGGUGACACUGAUGACCAGGUGUAAUACCUGGGGAUUGUCCUGUGAUAAGGUAGGACUAUACUUACCUGGUGACACUGAUGACCAGAUGUAAUACCUGGGGAUUGUCCUGUGAGAGAGUAGGACUAUACUCACCUGGUGACACUGAUGACCAGGUGUAAUACCUGGGGAUUGUCCUGUGAGAGAGUAGGACUAUACUUACCUGGUGACACUGAUGACCAGGUGUAAUACCUGGGGAUUGUCCUGUGAGAGAGUAGGACUAUACUUACCUGGUGACACUGAUGUCCAGGUGUAAUACCUGGGGAUUGUCCUGUGAGAGGGUAGGACUACCUGGUGACAAGUACAUACACUGAUGACCAUGGUGUCAAUUACAGUCAUUUUUUUACUGGUAUACAUGAUAGUGUUUAUGUAUACCAAAUAGAAAGUUUUGUUAUUCAUUUACAUACGGCCAUGAUUUUGUUAUGUUAAUUACAUUGACUGUUUAUAUUGUAAUUAUAUUUUAUGUUAAUUAAGGCAACUCUUCAUACUUUAUUAUGUUAAUUAAGGGGUCUGUUUUACCUUUUGUAUAUAUUUAUCUCUACAUUUGAUUCAUGUAUAAAGUUAGUACAUAAUAAUCUAACAGCAUUGUAUUAAAAUCUGUCUGUUUUAACGGUGCAAUAAAAAUGACCCGAGAUGGACCACUUGACUAGUCGAGAGCUCAUCAUUAAUAAAAAUUGUCAACAUCAUGAAUGGUAACAUUGGGUCUAAUAAUACCCUCCACAGCUUUACCAUAAACUACACGACAUAAACACAUUAAUGUUGACAUGUUGUCUCUGACUAGAAUCUUUUGAAGUAGUCAUAGUGUAUAUAGAUGGUCUGAAGUAGUCAUAGUGUAUAUAGACUGUAAUCUGGAAUUCGUAUUGAAGCUCUAGGUUAACUGCAUCAUCAUUUAAUAAUAAAAUAGUUGUAUCAGCUUCAA